rnacentral:rRNA from 1 species
AGUAUGAUAGAGGAAAGCAGAAUUUCUAGUGUAGAGGUGAAAUUCGUAGAUAUUAGAAAGAAUACCAAUUGCGAAGGCAGCUUUCUGGAUCAUUACUGACACUGAGGAACGAAAGCAUGUGUAGCGAAGAGGAUUAGAUACCCUCGUAGUCCAUGCCGUAAACGAUGUGUGUUAGACGUUGGAAAUUUAUUUUCAGUGUCGCAGGGAAACCGAUAAACACACCGCCUGGGGAGUACGACCGCAAGGUUAAAACUCAAAUGAAUUGACGGGGACCCGCACAAGUAGUGGAGCAUGUGGUUUAAUUCGAAGAUACGCGCAGAACCUUACCAACACUUGACAUGUUCGUCGCGACUCUAAGAGAUUAGAGUUUUCGGUUCGGCCGGACGAAACACAGGUGCUGCAUGGCUGUCGUCAGCUCGUGUCGUGAGAUGUUGGGUUAAGUCCCGCAACGAGCGCAACCCUCACUUUUAGUUGCCAUCAUUAAGUUGGGCACUCUGAAAGAACUGCCAGUGAUAAGCUGGAGGAAGGUGGGGAUGACGUCAAGUCCUCAUGGCCCUUACGUGUUGGGCUACACACGUGCUACAAUGGUAUCUACAACAGGAAGCAAAACGGCAACGUCUAGCAAAUCCCGAAAAGAUACCUCAGUUCGGAUUGCACUCUGCAACUCGAGUGCAUGAAGCUGGAAUUACUAGUAAUCGUGGAUCAGCGUGCCACGGUGAAUGCGUUCCCGGGUCUUGUACACACCGCCCGUCACACCAUGGGAGUUGGUUCUACCUUAAGGCAAGGUUUUAAACCCUUGACCACGGUAUAGUCAGCGACUGGGGUGAAGUCGUAACAAGGUAACCGUA